rnacentral:rRNA from 1 species
GGACGAACGCUGGCGGCGUGCUUAACACAUGCAAGUUGAACGGUAUGACAUGGAAGCUUGCUGAAGUGUCAUAUAGUAGCGGACGGGUGAGUAAUGCAUGAGAAGCUGCCAUUGGGAGGGGGACAACAGUUGGAAACGGCUGCUAAUACCCCGUAUGCCGGAGGGUGAAAGGGAGUAAUCCGCCCGAUGAGGUGCUCGUGUCCUAUCAGCUGGUUGGUGGGGUAACGGCCUACCAAGGCGACGACGGGUAGCCGGCCUGAGAGGGUGAACGGCCACACUGGAACUGAGAUACGGUCCAGACUCCUACGGGAGGCAGCAGUGGGGAAUAUUGGGCCAAUGGGGGCAACCCUGACCCAGCGACGCCGCGUGGGGGAAGACGGCCUUCGGGUUGUAAACCUCUUUUGUACGGGAAGAAGGAAGUGACGGUACUGUACGAAUAAGUCCCGGCUAACUACGUGCCAGCCGCCGC